AACGAACGCUGGCGGCAUGCCUAACACAUGCAAGUCGAACGAAGCCUUCGGGCUUAGUGGCGCACGGGUGCGUAACGCGUGGGAAUCUGCCCUUGGGUUCGGAAUAACAGUUAGAAAUGACUGCUAAUACCGGAUGAUGUCUUCGGACCAAAGAUUUAUCGCCCAAGGAUGAGCACGCGUAGGAUUAGGGAGUUGGUGGGGUAAUGGCCCACCAAGCCGACGAUCCUUAGCUGGUCUGAGAGGAUGUUCAGCCACACUGGGACUGAGACACGGCCCAGACUCCGACGGGAGGCGGCAGUGGGGAAUAUUGGACAAUGGGCGGAAGCCUGAGCCAGCAAUGCCGCGUGAGUUAUGAAGGCCUUAGGGUUGUAAAGCUCUUUUACCAGUGAUGAUAAUGACAGUACCUGGAGAAUAAGCUCCGGCUAACUCCGUGACAGCCGCCGCGGUAA
rnacentral:rRNA from 1 species